rnacentral:rRNA from 1 species
GAUGAACGCUGGCGGCGUGCCUAAUACAUGCAAGUCGAGCGGACGGACGAGGAGCUUGCGUCGCUGAUGUUAGCGGCGGACGGGUGAGUAACACGUGGAUAACCUACCUAUAUGACUGGGAUAACUUCGGGAAACCGGAGCUUAUACCGGAUAAUCUUUUGAACCGCAUGGUUCAAAAGUGAAAGACGGUCUUGCUGUAUCUUAUAGAUGGAUCCGCGCUGCAUUAGCUAGUUGGUAAGUUAACGGCUUACCAAGGCAAGGAUGCAUAGCCGAAUUGAGAGGGUGAUCGGCCACACUGGAACUGAGACACGGACCAGACUACUACGGGAGGCAGCAGUAGGGAAUCUUACGCAAUGGGCGAAAGCAUGACGGAGCAACGCCGCGUGAGUGACGACGGUCUUCGGAUCGUAAAAAUCUGUUAUUGGGGAAGAACAUAUGUGUAAGUAACUGUGCACAUAUUGACGGUACCUAAUCAGAAAGCCACGGCUAACUACGUG